UACGGAGGGAGCUAGCGUUGUUCGGAAUUACUGGGCGUAAAGCGCACGUAGGCGGCUUUGUAAGUUAGAGGUGAAAGCCCGGGGCUCAACUCCGGAACUGCCUUUAAGACUGCAUCGCUUGAAUCCAGGAGAGGUGAGUGGAAUUCCGAGUGUAGAGGUGAAAUGCGUAGAGAUCGGUAGGAACACCAGUGGCGAAGGCGGUCUCCUGGGGCUAACUUGACGCUGAGACGCGAAAGCUGGGGGAGCGAACGGG
rnacentral:rRNA from 1 species